rnacentral:rRNA from 1 species
GACGUAGGGGACGAGCGUUGUCCGGAUUCAUUGGGCGUAAAGCGCGCGUAGGCGGCUCGGAAAGUCGGUCGUGAAAUCCUGGGGCUCAACCCCGGAACUGCGUCCGAUACUCCCGAGCUGGAGGCAGGUAGGGGAGAUCGGAAUUCCUGGUGUAGCGGUGAAAUGCGCAGAUAUCAGGAGGAACACCGGUGGCGAAGGCGGAUCUCUGGGCCUUGCCUGACGCUGAGGCGCGAAAGCUAGGGGAGCGAACAGG